rnacentral:rRNA from 1 species
AUUGAACGCUGGCGGCAUGCCUAACACAUGCAAGUCGAACGGCAGCAUGAAUAGGGGUAACCUUAUUUGAUGGCGAGUGGCGGACGGGUGAGUAGUAUGUAGGAAUCUACCUAGAGGAGGGGGAUAACUUGGGGAAACCCAAGCUAAUACCACAUAAGCCCUACGGGGGAAAGCAGGGGAUCGAAAGACCUUGCGCCUUAUGAUGAGCCUACAUCGGAUUAGCUAGUUGGUGGGGUAAAGGCCUACCAAGGCGACGAUCCGUAGCUGGUCUGAGAGGAUGAUCAGCCACACUGGGACUGAGACACGGCCCAGACUCCUACGGGAGGCAGCAGUGGGGAAUAUUGGACAAUGGGCGAAAGCCUGAUCCAGCAAUGCCGCGUGUGUGAAGAAGGCCUUAGGGUUGUAAAGCACUUUCAGUAGGGAGGAAGGUUGUAAUGCUAAUAUCAUUGCAAAUUGACGUUACCUACAGAAGAAGCACCGGCUAACUCUGUGCCAGCCGCCGCAGUAA